GUCCGAAUGGGGACAGCUUUUUAUCCCGGGGGCCCUGUCCUUGGCUGCCGUGGCUCUACUGAUGGAGGAGAUGGGCGUCAGCUCAGGAGGGAGCUGCCGGGGCCUGGUUGACGGGCUGAGUCUGAGGACUGAGCGAUGGCACCUCGCGCAGGCUCUCCAAUUUCUCUGUGCCUCUGACAGCCCGUCCAGAAGAGGGCGCUGAAGCAGCCAGCGGUCACGUCAUGGGAGAGUUCUAAGCCUCCCAAGAGUGAGCGCCUCUGAAGAGAUUUACCCUGUACGUGUGGACUUGUAAAGGAGGCAAAAACCUUCAACCGACACGCUGGCCGCGAUGUCCAACCUAUGACGGCACCGAGAAGAGACCAGUGGCAGUUAUAGGAGCCAUACGUCUGCAGAGAGGCCUGAAGACCGUUGUGUUAACCCAGCACCAUUUAAUAUUUUCAUUAAUGACUUGAAGGAUGGAAUCGAGUCCCAGCUAAUCAGAUGUCGGCAUGAUACAAAGCUGGAAGGGAUCUCAGCUACUCGGGAGGACAAGAGUAAAAUACAAUCCAAGCUUGACGAAUUGCAGAGGCGGACCUAAAUCAAUAAAGAGAACGGCAAUAAAGAUAAAUGCAGGCUGCCGUGCACCGCGCUGAGGAAAUUAUCCGGGUACCGAAUGGCGAUGAGAGAAAUGAGUUUUGAGGGGGCCAGCAGGAGCUCACCUGGAGGUGAAUUCAUCAAGUCAUAGUAUUUGUAAAGUGGAGGCUCGGCUCUGUCGUCCAGUGGACCUCAAACGCCGGUGAGUUUUGAGAAUUACCAAGAGAGCUUGGGAAAAUGCAGAGUUUUCAGGCCAUGGACCCAACAUUACAUUUAGUAGGCCCGCAGUGAGGCUAGGAUGAUUUCGAUGCGGGCAGUGCUCUGAGAAAGCUAGAGCCUGGCAGGUAAGGAGGCAGCCUCUGACCACAUCGCUGUGUCCCCAAUGUUUACUCUAGAACCCUCGUCCCACGGCAUGCUCUGCAAGAAGUGAUUUCCAUGAUCAAAUAAGCUUGGAAAUGCUCCCUUUUAGAAAGGAAAAAAAAAAAUCGUAAGGUAUGUGAGCAUGUUUAUGACUCCAAUUUUUUUUUUUAUUUAAAUAAACAGCUUAACUUGUUUUAGUCCAGAGUUUCCCAGCCUUUUGGCCAAGGAGCCAUUUCUUCGUGUGACACGGAGCGACGUCUUGUGGAACGCACUUCAGAAAAUGGGAUUUCCUGUUCAAGUCCCUCCCUCAUCACGUUCUCUGGAUUUCUGAGGCCUUUUCAGCACCCUGCACUGAAACUCAUCCGGGGAGCUGGAACUUGAAAUCAUUUUAAAUGCUGCUCUGUCACACUUCCCUGGGUCUGAACUUUCCUUUAACGUUUAAAGAGAGGGCGGAAGAAAAUUUGCUAGAGGCUUUUAUUGCCUGUUAAUAGUGCACCACGUACUCCAGACUAAGAAGGGGAGGGAGGGAAGUUUCCCUUCUUUGUUCACUGUCUUCCUUGAGCUUGUGUCCAAAACUGCUAGUUGCCUCCCCAUGGCCCAUUCUCUUCGCUCUCUUAGUAAUCAGAAUCUCCAGAGUGUUGAACGCGGCCAUGUGUCUCACUUUAAAACCACAUUUCUCAGCCUCCUUUGCAAAUGAGGUGGUCAGUCAGAUGUAUGCAGAAGUCGCUGGGGAGAUUUCUGGGGAAUCACUUUAAAGGGAACUUACACAUUCAGAAGGCACCCUUUUUGCUCUCCCUCACUUCCUUCUUCUUCCUGCCCGGAACACCAAUAUAGUAGGAGCGCUGGCAGCCCUCUUGGGCCAUGAGGUAAACUUGCAAAUGGAAGCCACUCACUAAGUAAGGAUGGCAGAGCAGCAAGCAGAUUUUGAUGGCAUGGUGAAGCCACCAGAGCAACCCGGUGCUGCCUGAGAGAGAAACAAAAGUGCAGCCCUAUUGGUUUAAACCAUUGUUUUUCAGGCCUCUGAAAAUGCAGUUAGAUGCAACUUUGAAUUCACAGAGAGUAGAACCAUCAAAACCUUUCUGUCAUUGUCCACACAUCUUAGUCAUGCUGGGCUACCAUCCUGACCGUAUCCCUACGUGUCCUUGCUGUGUGUGUGUGUGUGUGUGUGUGUGUGUUCUCGUCCCACCUUUGGCACAAGGCAGUUAUGUUGCUUGGAUCCAGCAGUGUCCAGUGCGGCCACGCCUGUGUCUUUGGCUACCUCUCUCUUUUCUCCUUUGUUGGAAUUAAGCGCAGAACGGAAUCCACUUAGAAUGACAUUUUUGAGAGCUUCGCAUCAUUCUAGAAUGAACUUCCGUUUGGGGAUCCCUGUCCCUAGAACACUUUUUUCUGAAGUUCUGUAACCUGCAUUCCUGUGCGAAACCAGUGAGUGGCUCCUGAGACAAGGGAGGCUGAAGAGAAACUCUAUCGCAAGCCUUCCUUUGUAUCACCAAUGAGAUUUGCUGAAAAGGAGAGUCAUGCGAUUGCAAAGAAAAACUAGAAAUGAGCAUAAUCCUUUUUUUUUUUUUUAAUGUUUAUUAUCUUUGAGAGGGAGAGAGAGAGAGAGACAGAGCACAAGCUGGGGAACAGGAGAGAGAGAGGGAGACACAGAAU